rnacentral:rRNA from 1 species
AGAGUUUGAUCCUGGCUCAGAACGAACGUUGGCGGCGUGCUUAACACAUGCAAGUCGAACGAGAACGGAACCUUCGGGAUCUUAGUAAAGUGGCGCACGGGUGAGUAACGCGUAAGUAAUCUACCUUUGCAUUUGGAAUAACUACGGGAAGCUGUAGCUAAUACCAAAUACGUUCAUAUAGUUACGACUAUAUGAAGAAAGAUGGCCUCUUCUUGAAAGCUAUCGUGCAGAGAGGAGCUUGCGUACCAUUAGCUAGUUGGUAGGGUAAUGGCCUACCAAGGCAACGAUGGUUAGCGGGUCUGAGAGGAUGAUCCGCCACACUGGAACUGGAACACGGACCAGACUCCUACGGGAGGCAGCAGUGAGGAAUAUUGCGCAAUGGGGGAAACCCUGACGCAGCGACGCCGCGUGGAUGAUGAAGGCCUUCGGGUCGUAAAAUCCUGUCAAGUGGGAAGAAAUGUAUAUGUAUUAAUACUACUUAUAUUUGACGGUACCACUAAAGGAAGCACCGGCUAACUCCGUGCCAGCAGCCGCGGUAAUACGGAGGGUGCAAACGUUGUUCGGAAUUACUGGGCGUAAAGCGCGCGUAGGCGGUCUGUUAAGUCAGAUGUGAAAGCCCAUGGCUCAACCAUGGACGUGCAUUUGAUACUGGCAGACUUGAGUACUGGAGGGGAUGGUGGAAUUCCCGGUGUAGAGGUGAAAUUCGUAGAUAUCGGGAGGAAUACCGGUGGCGAAGGCGACCAUCUGGCCAGAUACUGACGCUGAGGUGCGAAAGCAUGGGGAGCAAACAGGAUUAGAUACCCUGGUAGUCCAUGCCGUAAACGAUGAGAACUAGGUGUUGGGGCGGUUAAUCGUCUCAUUGCCGGAGCUAACGCAUUAAGUUCUCCGCCUGGGGAGUACGGUCGCAAGAUUAAAACUCAAAGGAAUUGACGGGGGCCCGCACAAGCGGUGGAGUAUGUGGUUUAAUUCGACGCAACGCGCAGAACCUUACCUGGUCUUGACAUCCCGAAAAUCUUUUGGAAACAAGAGAGUGCCUCUUUGAGGAAUUCGGUGACAGGUGCUGCAUGGCUGUCGUCAGCUCGUGGAGAUGUUGGGUUAAGUCCCGCAACGAGCGCAACCCUUGCCCUCUGUUGCCAUCAGGUAAUGCUGAGCACUCUGAGGGGACUGCCGGUGAAAAACCGGAGGAAGGUGGGGAUGACGUCAAGUCCUCAUGGCCUUUAUGUCCAGGGCUACACACGUGCUACAAUGGCCGGUACAAAGGGUCGCAAAACCGUGAGGUGGAGCUAAUCCCAAAAAGCCGGCCUCAGUUCGGAUUGGAGUCUGCAACUCGACUCCAUGAAGUUGGAAUCGCUAGUAAUCGCGGAUCAGCAGGCCGCGGUGAAUACGUUCCCGGGCCUUGUACACACCGCCCGUCACAUCACGAAAGUUGGCUGCACUAGAAGUCGCUGGGCUAACCCUUCGGGGAGGCAGGCGCCGAAAGUGUGGUUGGCGAUUGGGGUGAAGUCGUAACAAGGUAACCG